rnacentral:rRNA from 1 species
UGGGGAAUAUUGCACAAUGGGCGCAAGCCUGAUGCAGCAACGCCGCGUGAACGAUGAAGGUCUUCGGAUCGUAAAGUUCUGUUGCAGGGGAAGAUAAUGACGGUACCCUGUGAGGAAGCCCCGGCUAACUACGUGCCAGCAGCCGCGGUAAUACGUAGGGGGCUAGCGUUAUCCGGAUUUACUGGGCGUAAAGGGUGCGUAGGUGGUCUUUCAAGUCGGUGGUUAAAGGCUACGGCUCAACCGUAGUUAGCCUCCGAAACUGGAAGACUUGAGUGCAGGAGAGGAAAGUGGAAUUCCCAGGGUAGCGGUGAAAUGCGUAGAAAUUGGGAGGAACACCAGUAGCGAAGGCGGCUUUCUGGACUGCAACUGACACUGAGGCACGAAAGCGUGGGUAGCAAACAGG